AUCGCCGUGUGUUUGGCGGACACGAGGCAACGAACGAACGGCACCAAUUAAUUUGGACUACGCGAUGCUGAGGAGCCUGUGUUAAGCUCCACCCACGUGGUUCGCGGCUAGCGAAGUCAGACUGUCCGAUCCCGUCUGCAACGCUUCUCCAGAGGUCAUGAGUAUCUUCCUGAGGCUGUGCUUUGUGCUGUUCGUGUUGUCAACUGUUGCUGCAGAUUGUAGUAAAGUAAUAGCCCUAUCAGAUCUGUGUCCGGAUCCGUGUGAAGAGUCUCCCUGUAAGCCACACCAGCGCUGCGUGCCGCGAAAGGUUGUGUGCAUCAACUCCUACUGCUGCGACAUUGCGAAGUGCGUGGAUGCC